rnacentral:sRNA from 12 species
GUUGAGCCGAGGGGCCUUGCGGAAACGACAGACAGCGCUGUCAGAAACCGUAGCAAGUGAGCCCGCACCACGUUGACAGCUGAUGCGCUCGUGAUGAAAUACUGUGCCUUUCGCAAGGGGCACUUCAGACAGUAGCUUA